ACAUUUUGUGGAUACAUUUAUAAUUUUAUAUGGUAAACCUUAUGUAUCACAUAACGUACAUGGUUUACUACAUAUUGUCAAUGAUGCUAAAUUAUUGGGACCAAUUCAUGAAUUCAGUACAUUUCAAUUUGAAAAUUACCUUAGGAUUUUUAAAAUGCAGCUAAGAAAAUCCGACAAGCCCCUUCAACAAAUCCUUAGGAGAUACAAAGAAAAAGCUUUAUUGAAUUCACAAACACCGAAGAUAAAAAAUAAUAGCCUCGGGGCCUUUUUAAGAAAUCACUGGAAUGGACCAAUUUUAAAUACAACUGAUGUCAAUAAGCAAUUUAAGGAUGCAAAAAUAAAAAAUUCUAUCUUAUCCUCGGAAUGUCCAAAUAAUAUUUGUAUUACUCAACACCGUGAAAUAGUUGUUGUUCAUAACUUUGUAUAUGACAAACAUCUGAAAUGCAUGGUAGUUUUAGGUAAAACUUUCUUAACUAAAGGAGAAAUAUAUGACACUCCUUGUCAGUCUAGCUUACUUGAUUGUUAUUUAGUUAGUAGUAUUUCCGAAAAUAUUCAAAGUUGGCUAGUAUCUGAUAUAAUGUGCAUAUGUAUAGCUUUACCAUGGAAGCAUGAUAGCAGUAACAGCCUAGCUGUCUUCCCACUAUUGCAUAGCGAUUGCACUAAGACUAAUUAAUAAAUGUAUCUAUAUAAACUGUGUAUAAACUAAAUAAGCAUAGUAAAUGUAUGUAAAUAUUUAACAUCAAUUGAAUUAACAUUAAUUUAUUGUUAUUUAAAAUUAUAAAAAAAAUAUUCUUAUAAAUAUUUUAUAAUAUUGUCCAUAGGUUAAACUGUAUAAAAAUAAAUGGCCGAUACACCUAUUUGGUGUGUUAUUGAGUAUGAUGAUGGUGGUGUACAAAUUGUACCUAAAAGUUGGACAGAUACUGGAUUACCAGGAACCAGCUAUUGGCCUCAACGAGGAGUUUUUAAUUCAGAUCUACAAUACCUUAAGGCAGUGAAACAUAACACAAGCCCUGGAAUAACUUGGCCAGUUUAUAAUGCAUCUAUAUUGGGAUCCUAUGAUGAUUUUGAAAAAGCCAAACGUAAACAGAAAAAAUCCGAAGUCCAUACAGACCUUACCACAGAUGUGGAAAAAGAAAAAAAAGCCGAAAAAAGCGGAAGAAAAAAACAAAUGUUAGUUCUGGUGACAAUUCUGAACCUGAAGUAACGUCCGAAAUUAAAAUAAAGCCAUUUCCUAAACCACAACCACAACCAAGUACAUCAUUGCCACAAAGUUUAUAUUUAAAUGAAUCUUCAUUGCAAUGUUCUUUUGAAAAUGAAUUUGGUGGCAAUGCAAAUAAUAUAGACUGGGGUAGUUCAUUUAUCAUAGCAGAUACUAAUGCUGUGAAAUUAGAUGACCAUCAAUCUUUUAUACAAGUUUCUUAACCAACUUGUGAUAAUAUGGCUUUACUGAAUGCAUCAGAAAAUAAUUCUCCUUUUAUUAAGUCAGCUAGCUAUAAUUAAACAAGAUCUAAACUGCCAGAAAUGUCAGACAAAGGUAUUUAAUUAGUUACAAUAUGUAUAAAAUAUAUAAUCUACAUAUUUUAAUUAUUUUAUUUCAGAUUUAAAGGAAAGAGUCAUUAGAGAUCUGUCUAUUAUUAAAUUACGAAUAAAAAAAAUAGAAGAAAAAAAUAACCAAAAAUGGUCUGAUAAUAGUGACGAUUGUGAAGCAGAUACAUUGAUAGUCAGUGGAUUUCCUCUAUCUGAUGGAGAUCAAUUAAAAACUAUAGAAAAUAAACGUAUUGCUGAUAAAUCGUAUAGAUCCAGUCUGAUGAGAGCAUUAAGUAGAAUUGGAGGAACAAAAGUAGACGAGGCCACUAAAUUAAUUUUAAGAAGAAUAUUUUCUAACAAAUUAGCCAUGAAAUAUAGUUGGUUAGGAGGAAAGGGAAAAUUAAUUUUUUCCAACUUAUUGCUGUCUAAAAUAAUUCUGGAAACUGUUCUUAAAUUGAUUCCUUUGUGUACCGAAGCUGAAAUUAUUUUGUCAGUUAAGAACUGGCUGAGACAUGCUACAAAAAGACAUGAAAAUAGCUUAUAGGAGUGACAAAAUUCCUACCAGGUACUAUACUACUUUUUUAUUAUUUUGACAUCAUGUUUUUUUUUAUUAUAAUUACUUGUUUUUUUAUUAUGCCACCUACUAUAUAUAAUAAGAUUUUAUUUGACUGUUUUUGGAAACAUAAUGUUUCAAGCUAUUUUAUUCAUUUAACAUCAUGUUUUCUUUUUAUUAUAAUUACUUGUUUUUUAUUGUGCUACCUACUAUAUAUAAUAAAAUGUAUAUUGUAUUAGUAUUUAGUAGUAUAUGAAGUAUAUAAUGUUAUUUUGUUUUAUAAGACAGCUUUUUGAAGCAAAAAGUUUCAAGUUAUUUUUAUUAUUUUAUCAUCAUGUUUUUUUUAAAUAUAUUAUAAUUACAUAUUUUUUAUUGUUCUACCUACUGUAUACAUAUAACAAGAUGUAUAUUGUAUUAGUAUUAAAUAGCAUAUGAAGUAUAUAAUGUUAUUUUGUUUUAUAAGACUGCUUUUUGAAGCACAAAGAGUCAAGUUAUUUUUUAUU